rnacentral:rRNA from 1 species
AACGAACGCUGGCGGCAUGCCUAACACAUGCAAGUCGAACGAGACCUUCGGGUCCAGUGGCGCACGGGUGCGUAACGCGUGGGAAUCUGCCCUUGGGUUCGGAAUAACUCGCCGAAAGGCGUGCUAAUACCGGAUGAUGACGUAAGUCCAAAGAUUUAUCGCCCAAGGAUGAGCCCGCGUUGGAUUAGCUAGUUGGUGAGGUAAAGGCUCACCAAGGCGACGAUCCAUAGCUGGUCUGAGAGGAUGAUCAGCCACACUGGGACUGAGACACGGCCCAGACUCCUACGGGAGGCAGCAGUGGGGAAUAUUGGACAAUGGGCGAAAGCCUGAUCCAGCAAUGCCGCGUGAGUGAUGAAGGCCUUAGGGUUGUAAAGCUCUUUUACCCGGGAUGAUAAUGACCGUACCGGGAGAAUAAGCUCCGGCUAACUCCGUG